rnacentral:tRNA from 1 species
UCCCUUGUGGUCUAGUGGCUAAGACUCUGGACUCCCAAUGCAGGAGGUCUGGGUUCAAUCCCUGGUCAGGGAA